AAAGGAGACAAGCCCUUGGCUUCAUCUAUGAGAAGCAGGUUGUUCAUGCUUUAUUUGAGGAGGUUCCAGAACGUUACGGCGAAAGAAAUGGUGGUUAUACAAGAAUCCUAAGAACCUUUGCAAGGCGGGGUGAUAAUGCACCUAUGGCAUACAUUGAACUUGUGGAGUAGUUAUUAGUCGAUGCCUUUAUGGGCUGCAAUUAUUAGCAUCCACUGUAACAUUGAGAUUUGUAAUGCUUCCAAUGUUCAA
rnacentral:lncRNA from 1 species